rnacentral:misc_RNA from 1 species
UGCAAUGCUGAGGAGUUCAAGAACACUACAGUUAACCAUGACCUUCACUUCAUAUCUUGGGACAACCCUCCCAAACAACACCCACAUUUCCUCACAGUUGAUGACUACCAGAGAAUGGUUGACAGCAAUGCCCCAUUUGCUAGGAAAUUUGGCAAGAACGACCCAGUUCUUGACAAGAUCGAUUCCAAUAUUUUGGGUCGCACAGCUGAUGGUUUUGUUCCAGGUGAGUGGUUCAGAAACAAAGGAGAUGCAAAUGGGACCAUCCCAGAUAACAUCAACACAAACACAACUGAACUUAAUCCUGGCCCUGGUGCUCAAAGGCUGAAGCGUCUGAUCACUAGUCUUUUGUCAGCAGAAGAUUUUCACUCGACACAUUGCAUCUGAGUCACUGUUUCUAUGUCCAGAGAGAUAAUGUUGCAGAACGGCCAAAUUUUUGCUUAGUCAUUUCAUUGAUGGAUCCUUUCGACUGGUAACAGAAGACUGCAAAUGGGACAAAGAACAAGACUAUAGCCUAUAGGAACAUAUGGGGGAAUGGAAACUACUCCCUGUCUAAAGUAUAUGAUAUACAAAUAUUUUGUAGCUCAAUAGCUGGAUUGGCCAUAUGUAGAUCAGUGUAUCAUUUGUUUUACAUCAUUUGUAAAAUUUAAACCAAUCAUAUUAACU